GAUGAACGCUGGCGGCGUGCCUAAUACAUGCAAGUCGAGCGAACAGACGAGGAGCUUGCUCCUCUGACGUUAGCGGCGGACGGGUGAGUAACACGUGGAUAACCUACCUAUAAGACUGGGAUAACUUCGGGAAACCGGAGCUACUACCGGAUAAUAUAUUGAACCGCAUGGUUCAAUAGUGAAAGACGGUUUUGCUGUCACUUAUAGAUGGACCCGCGCCGCAUUAGCUAGUUGGUAAGGUAACGGCUUACCAAGGCAACGAUGCGUAGCCGACCUGAGAGGGUGAUCGGCCACAAUGGAACUGAGACGCGGUCGAGACUCCUACGGGAGGCAGCAGUAGGGAAUCUUCCGCAAUGGGCGGAGGCCUGACGGUGCAGCGCCGCGUGGGUGAUGAAGGUCUUCGGAUCGUAGAACUCUGUUAUUAGGGAAGAACAAAUGUGUAAGUAACUGUGCACGUCUUGACGGUACCUGAACAGAAAGCCACGGCUAACUACGUG
rnacentral:rRNA from 1 species